rnacentral:pre_miRNA from 1 species
UUACUACUCCCUCCGUCCGAAAAUACUUGUCAUCAAAAUGUAUAAAAAGAGAUGUAUCUAGAACUAAAAUACGUCUAGAUACAUCCCCUUUUAUCCAUUUUGAUGACAAGUAUUUCCGGACGGAGAGAGUACAUA